UACGUAGGGAGCAAGCGUUAUCCGGAAUGAUUGGGUGUAAAGGGUGAGUAGGCGGUUUUACGAAGUCGCAUGUUAAAAGCCAUGGCUUAACUGUGGUGUGGCAUGAGAAACUUGUAGACUAGAGUGCAGGAGAGGUAAGCGGAAUUCCUAGUGUAGCGGUGAAAUGCGUAGAUAUUAGGAAGAACACCAGUGGCGAAGGCGGCUUACUGGACUGUAACAGACGCUGAGGCACGAAAGCAUGGGGAGCAAA
rnacentral:rRNA from 1 species